GAUCCCGUAGCUCAGUCGGAUAGAGCACCAGAUUCCUAAUCUGGGGGCCGGUGGUUCAAAUCCACCCGGGGUCGCCA
rnacentral:tRNA from 1 species